rnacentral:rRNA from 1 species
GUAUGGGGAUCUGCCCGAUAGAGGGGGAUAACUACUGGAAACGGUGGCUAAUACCGCAUAAUGUCUACGGACCAAAGCAGGGGCUCUUCGGACCUUGCACUAUCGGAUGAACCCAUAUGGGAUUAGCUAGUAGGUGGGGUAGAGGCUCACCUAGGCGACGAUCUCUAGCUGGUCUGAGAGGAUGAUCAGCCACACUGGGACUGAGACACGGCCCAG